AGAGCGAACGCUGGCGGCAGGCCUAAUACAUGCAAGUCGAACGGACCCUUCGGGGUUAGUGGCGGACGGGUGAGUAACACGUGGGAACGUGCCCUUUGGUUCGGAACAACUCAGGGAAACUUGAGCUAAUACCGAAUGUGCCCCCAUCCUUAAACAAGAUGGGCGGGAAAGAUUUAUCGCCAUUGGAGCGGCCCGCGUCUGAUUAGCUAGUUGGUGAGGUAAAGGCUCACCAAGGCGACGAUCAGUAGCUGGUCUGAGAGGAUGAUCAGCCACACUGGGACUGAGACACGGCCCAGACUCCUACGGGAGGCAGCAGUAGGGAAUCUUGCGCAAUGGGCGAAAGCCUGACGCAGCCAUGCCGCGUGAAUGAUGAAGGUCUUAGGAUUGUAAAAUUCUUUCAGCGGGACGAUAAUGACGGUACCCGCAGAAGAAGCCCGGCUAACUUCGUGCCAGCAGCCGC
rnacentral:rRNA from 1 species